rnacentral:rRNA from 1 species
UGAGGUAGGUGAGGAGAGAAUCCUAAGGCCGACGGGAGAAGCAUUGUUAAGGAACUCGGCAAAAUGACUCCGUAACUUCGGGAGAAGGAGUGCCAGUGAGAGCUGGCCGCAGAGAAUUGGCCCAAGCAACUGUUUAGCAAAAACACAGGUCUAUGCAAAACCGUAAGGUGAAGUAUAUGGGCUGACGCCUGCCCGGUGCUGGAAGGUUAAGGGGAGAGGUUAGCGCAAGCGAAGCUUUGAACUUAAGCCCCAGUAAACGGCGGCCGUAACGAUAACGGUCCUAAGGUAGCGAAAUUCCUUGUCGGGUAAGUUCCGACCCGCACGAAAGGCGUAAUGAUUUGGGCACUGUCUCAACAAUGCACCCGGUGAAAUUGAAAUACCAGUGAAGAUGCUGGUUACCUGCGCCAGGACGGAAAGACCCCAUGGAGCUUUACUCCAGCUUGAUACUGGGAUUCGAUAUUGUAUGUACAGGAUAGGUGGGAGGCGAAGAAGCAUUGACGCCUGUUGAUGCGGAGCCGCUGUUGGGAUACCACCCUUGCAGUAUUGGAUUUCUAACCAGCAGCCGUGACCCGGCUGGGGGACAAUGUCAGGCGGGGAGUUUGACUGGGGCGGUCGCCUCCGAAAGGGUAUCGGAGGCGCUCAAAGGUUCCCUCAGAAUGGUUGGAAACCAUUCGAAGAGUGCAAAGGCAGAAGGGAGCUUGACUGCGACACCGACGGGUGGAGCAGGUACGAAAGUAGGACUUAGUGAUCCGGUGGUAUAAAGUGGGAUUGCCAUCGCUCAACGGAUAAAAGCUACCCUGGGGAUAACAGGCUUAUCACUCCCAAGAGUUCACAUCGACGGAGUGGUUUGGCACCUCGAUGUCGGCUCAUCGCAUCCUGGGGCUGAAGUAGGUCCCAAGGGUUGGGCUGUUCGCCCAUUAAAGCGGUACGCGAGCUGGGUUCAGAACGUCGUGAGACAGUUCGGUCCCUAUCCGGCGUGGGCGUAGGAUAUUUGAGAGGAGCUGGCCUUAGUACGAGAGGACCGGGCUGGACUGACCGCUGGUGUAUCUGUUGUUCCGCCAGGAGCAUGGCAGAGUAGCCAAGUCAGGAAGGGAUAAACGCUGAAGGCAUCUAAGCGUGAAGCCCCCCUCAAGAUGAGAUAUCCCAACGCAAGUUGUAAGACCCCUUGAAGACGACAAGGUAGAUAGGGCAGAGGUGGAAGUGCAGUAAUGCAUGGAGCUGACUGUUACUAAUCGGUCGAGGGCAUAACCG